GCGCCUGUAGCUCAGAGGAUAGAGCACCUGCCUUCUAAGCAGGGAGUCGCAGGUUCGAAUCCUGCCAGGCGCACCA
rnacentral:tRNA from 1 species